GUUUCUUCCACUUGGCCUAUUCUCCCUCUAACACGGUCACUAAGUGGAAAGCAUCUCCAUCUUUCAGAACGUGACUCAAGUGCCUUGGACUCCAGGGCCACCCCCCUGCUUCUGCUGUUUACCCCACCAGGUUACAAGCUCUCAACCUGUGAUGACUUAACCCUCAGGAGACAUUUGACCAUAUCUGUAGACACUUUUGGUCAUCACAACUUGCGUGUGUAUUGUUAGCCCUAUUGUAGGCCAGGGAGGCUGUUAGAACUACACAAUGCAUGGGGCAGUCCCUCCUGAAAGUGUGUGCCCAGAUGUUAAUUAUGCUGGGCCCUGGAAUAGGCUAAUGGAAUGUCCAAUGUUUGGCCUAAAAAGAUGUCCAACAACUAUUUAUGUAACGAGUGAGUGAUCGGAAUGACCUAGUAGUUAUAUAGUCUCUUACUGUAGGACUGGUUCUCUUUGAGGCCUUCAAAUCAGGUCUUAAGUUCACAAGCACAAGCUUGUCAUGCACAAGCACAUCGAAGAGGAUGGAAUAAAAUGUACACACGUAUCGAA
rnacentral:lncRNA from 1 species